UACGGAGGGUGCAAGCGUUAUCCGGAUUCACUGGGUUUAAAGGGUGCGUAGGUGGGCAGGUAAGUCAGUGGUGAAAUCUCUGGGCUCAACCCAGAAACUGCCGUUGAUACUAUCUGUCUUGAAUGUAGUGGAGGUGAGCGGAAUAUGUCAUGUAGCGGUGAAAUGCUUAGAUAUGACAUAGAACACCUAUUGCGAAGGCAGCUCGCUACACUAUUAUUGACGCUGAGGCACGAAAGCGUGGGGAUCAAACAGG
rnacentral:rRNA from 1 species